AUGUUAUCAAGAAAGGUUGAGGGAUUAGACCCUAUGAAACCUUAGCAACCCUUUGUGCAAGCGAAGAAGGUGCUACGUUCUACCAAAUAAUUUAUUUUGGACAGAUAACUU
rfam:Chryseobacterium piperi strain CTM contig23, whole genome shotgun sequence.